rnacentral:lncRNA from 10 species
CCGGCGUUUGCUAUUGUUUUUAUUUCAACUUGAAGAACUCCCUUUAGCAUUUCUUGUAGGGCAAGUCUAGUAAUAAUGAACUCACAUAGCUCUUAUUUGUCUGGGAAAGGUUCUGGGUGAGCAGCUUUGCUGCUGGAGUCCUCAAAAGGUCCAGCCUGAUGCCUGGGUCAGUGGGUGGCACAGCUAGAGCCUGGACUUCAGUGGCAGGCCUGGAUCCUGGGUCUGUUGAGGCCAUCCUAGACCUUGGUCUUCAGGGACUAGCCUGGCACUAGAUGGGCCUGGACCCUGGGUCUGCUAUUAUAGAUCUGGUACCAGGUUUCACUGGGAUGACCUGGAGCUGGGGUUUGUAGCAAAGUCAGGUGCUCACUUCGUUCUCCUUCCCCCACAUGGAGGAUAUCUCUCUCCAUGCUGUACUGUGUAGGCUUGGGGCUGGGGUGAUGAAGGCAAUACAAAACUAUCCUUCCUACCCUCUUUAAUGCAUCUUUUCUUAUUUCUGUGCUAUCCCCAGGUGCUAUAAUCUCUUACCUGGAUUCUUUAGCCCUUGUGAAAAUAUUGUCAUGUGUGGAUAGUUGUUCAAAUUGAUGUUUUGGAAGGCGACAAGUAUCACUCUCCCUGUAUUGCUUCAUAGAGGACACCCCAAGAAUGUCCCCU